rnacentral:rRNA from 1 species
AUUGAACGCUGGCGGCAGGCCUAACACAUGCAAGUCGAACGGUAACAGGAAGCAGCUUGCUGCUUUGCUGACGAGUGGCGGACGGGUGAGUAAUGUCUGGGAAACUGCCUGAUGGAGGGGGAUAACUACUGGAAACGGUAGCUAAUACCGCAUAACGUCGCAAGACCAAAGAGGGGGACCUUCGGGCCUCUUGCCAUCGGAUGUUCCCAGAUGGGAUUAGCUAGUAGGUGGGGUAACGGCUCACCUAGGCGACGAUCCCUAGCUGGUCUGAGAGGAUGACCAGCCACACUAGAACUGAGACACGGUCCAGACUCCUACGGGAGGCAGCAGUGGGGAAUAUUGCACAAUGGGCGCAAGCCUGAUGCAGCCAUGCCGCGUGUAUGAAGAAGGCCUUCGGGUUGUAAAGUACUUUCAGCGGGGAGGAAGGGAGUAAAGUUAAUACCUUUGCUCAUUGACGUUACCCGCAGAAGAAGCACCGGCUAACUCCGUG